CUUUAGGAACUAAAAAAAAAACCAACACUGCCUCUCCUCCUUUCUCUCACCCCGCAAACCAUCUCCCUGCUCCCUCUCUCUCUUCGCCCCAUCCACCACAGGCCGCAGCCACCGCAGGCCGCAGCCACCAACGAAUGCUUCGAAAGGGUACUGUAGGAUUAAUAUCAGGAGAUAAUGUCCCGGGUUCAGUGUACCAGGUAGCUUCAACUGGUGCUACUGUGAGCUUGAAUUCUGUUGUAGGUCGGCCUCAUCCAUUUUUACUGUUCGCAGCUACCCAGUGAUAGACUGAUAGGUGCAAUUUAUCUUCAUCUUUGAUAUCUAUUGUUAUUGAACUGCGUUUACUAAGAAUAUUUCUUGAGGCCCUUUAUGCAGUUCAAUGCGUCUGGCACAACAGGUUUGUCAAUCUUGAGGUUCACUUUUUAAAUAUCAGCAUUUUUAUUGCCUCGUUUUGGCGAGAUUGUUCUGUCCUUGUGCUGAAUGCCUUUAAUUAUUCAGGCAUUCAGCUCAUAUAUGGUUGCAUUUUAUCUUGGAAUGUCCCAUCAUGCAAUUGACAAUAUUCCAUUUAGCCUUGUGCUGUUCUCCUAAGAAGGCACCAUAAUGUUAUUCCUUCAGAUAUUGCUCAAUAUGCUAGCAUGCUCAAUAUGUUAUUCCUUUUUUUUUAUACACUUUGAAAAAAAAAAACAUUUUCUGCACAACAUUGUCUUAAAAAAGACCUUUAGUUUCCCAUCACUUUUUUUGCUCAUGGCAUGAUGAUACCUAGCAGUUAAGAAAAUUAUUGUAUUCUCAGUUAGUUACGUGUUAUUGGUAUAUGCUAUAAUGUUUUUCAAUGCUUUAAGUCCACUUAAUUGCCUCUCCUUAUUUACUACAAAGUAGUUUGAUCUGGUAUGUCUCUCCUUGUCGAUCUUAUCAUACAUGUUGAUAUAAUAUCAAGUUAUUACACUUGAUAAUAAACCUUUUCAGAGUUCAGACUAAACACAAAACAUAUUUCUGUGUAAGAUAUAAAUUUUGGUUCGUAAUGAUUGCUGAUUUUCAUUUUCUUUACGGCAUUGACCAUUGGUUCUGCUGAAUGUUGUUGCUGAUUUUCAUUUUCUUUACGGCAUUGACCAUUGUGUUUUCAUAUAUCUUAUUUCACAUUUUGCCUUUGUAAUUUGCAAGUCGGGUUGCAGUUGCUCAGUUGUUAGAGCCACAUGUUCAGCUUAGAAUAUCUGUCAUAAAUAAUUAUAGCCUUACCAUUAUUUUUCCAUAAUCCUAUAACUGAAGAAACUGAAUGGGUGUAUAAUGUAUUGUUACCCGUCUCCAUCAAGUUCACUUGAUCAAGUAAUAAUAAAACUGAAAAAAAAGUAAAUCUGGGUAUGAGUAAUUACUAGUGCUAACAGGAAUAGUAUUUUGUCAUACACCCACUAAACUUGGCUACCCUUCCAUGUGAUUAUGUGAAUGUGAGAAUGUCCAUUCACACUCAUUAAGAGUAGUAUAUAUAAUCAAGAAUCCAUUCUUCUUGAGCCAUAAAUCCAUAAUCAUCAUCUAUAACAAAUUAACAAUGGUUGCUUUUAUUUCCAGAACCAUACUUUUGCUAGCAAUAAUCAUAUCAGCAACCCAUUCUGCACCAUCACCAUCACCUGAGGCAAGUUUGUACGUUCAAUAAUUUAUAAUUUUAAUUCAAAUAUUUAAUUAUGAAAAUUUGAGAGUAGUCCAACAAUAUUUUAAGUAAUUACAUACUUCAUAUUAAUAAUGUACAAACUAUAUGAGUAAAACAUAUGGCCAAAGUCAAUCUCGGAUAUCAAUAGUGCAAAGGUCUUAGUAUUGCAACUAAAACAAAUUUGGUAAAAAAAAAAGGGAAAUACUUUGUGAAACAAUUUAAGCUGAAGUUGGGUGCAUAAAAUAGGGAUAAUCAUAUAACUAAUCAUAUAAAUCAUGAAAAAGGUUUAGAAUGUGGAUAUAAGUUCGUUUGUUGGUAGUUGGGAUCGAAAAUGCCAUUUUUGGCCAUAAAUUUCCUAUAUCGACCCAAAUGACCCAUAGGCGUGCAUAACGAACUUGAAAUGAGUCUUAUAAUCAUAUAACUAAUCAUAUAAAUCAUGAAAAAGGUUUAGAAUGUGGAUAUAAGUUCGUUUGUUGGUAGUUGGGAUCGAAAAUGUCAUUUUUUGCCAUAAAUGACCUAUAUCGACCCAAAUGGCCAAUAGGUGUGCAUAACGAAAUAGUAAUGAGUCUUAUAAACAUAUAAUUAAUCAUAUGAAUCAUGAAAAACAUUUAGAAUAUGGAAAUAGGUUCGUUUGUUGGUAGUUGUGAUCGAAAAUGCCAGUUUUUUCCAUAAAUGACCUAUAUCGACCCAAAUGACCCUUAAGCUUGCUUAACGAACUUGAAAUGAGUUUCAUAAACAUAUAACUAAUCAUAUGAAUCAUGAAAAAGGGUUAGAGUGUGGAAAUAGGUUCGUUUGUUGGUAGUUGGGAUCAAAAAUGCCAUUUUUUUGCCAUAAAUGAACUAUAUCGACCCAAAUGACCUAUAGGCAUGCAUAAUGAACUUGAAAUUAGCCUUAUAAUCAUAUUACUAAUCAUAUGAAUCAUGAAAAAUGUUUAGAAUAUGGAAAUAGGUUCAUUUGUUGGUAGUUGGGAUCGAAAAUGCCAUUUUUGACCAUAAAUGACCUAUAUCGACCCAAAUGAACCAUAGGCGUGCAUAACGAACUUAAAAUGAGUCUUAUAAUCAUAUAACUAAUCAUAUGAAUAAUGAAAAACGUUUAGAAUGUGGAAAUAGGUUCGUUUGUUGGUAGUUGGGAUCGAAAAUGCCAUUUUGGACCAUAAAUAACCUAUAUCGACCUAAAUGAACCAUAGGCGUGCAUAACGAACUUGAAAUGAGUCUUAUAAUCAUAUAACUAAUCAUCUAAAUCAUGAAAAAGUUUCAUACUGUGGAUAUAAGUUCGUUUGUUCGUAGUUGGGAUCGAAAAUGCCAUUUUUAGCCAUAAAUGACCUAUAUCGACCCAAAUGACCAAUAGCAUGCAUAACGUAUUUGAAAUGAGUCUUAUAAUCAUCUGACUAAUAAUAUAAAUCAUGAAAAAGGGUUAGAAUGUGGAAAGAGGUUCGUUUGUUGGUAGUUGAGUUCAAAAAUGUCAUUUUUGGCCAAUAUAAUUGUUUUCGCGAACAAUAUAAUUUUUGUUUUCGCAUAUGAAACUUAAUUUAAUUUAUUGGUUUGCAUGUACGGUGUUCUUUUAAAGGUUUUCAAAACUCCAAGGGAGGGGCCCUUUACCAAAAAGGAGUUGGAUGAAACUCGAGACAAGUGGGCUAUUUACUUCAACGAUUUUGAACUACCCUCAGUGUAAUAAAUAGAGAAGGCUUGUAGUUAUUCGUGACUCUUACAUUAUUUUGUUAUUUAUCGUUUUAAUUAAUUACAUUUUAAUUAAUUCGGUAAUAUUAUUGGAAAUUUGAAAUUUAUAUCAUUUUUGAGAAUGUCAAGCUGAUGUUUGAUGAAACAGAAAUUAUAUUGCAAAAUCAGAAAUUAUAUUGCAGAAUAUUUGGAAUUA